UACGUAGGGUGCGAGCGUUGUCCGGAAUUAUUGGGCGUAAAGAGCUCGUAGGCGGUGUGUCACGUCGUUCGUGAAAACCUGCAGCUUAACUGUGGGCGUGCGGUCGAUACGGGCAUCACUGGAGUUCGGCAGGGGAGACUGGAAUUCCUGGUGUAGCGGUGAAAUGCGCAGAUAUCAGGAGGAACACCGGUGGCGAAGGCGGGGUC
rnacentral:rRNA from 1 species